rnacentral:lncRNA from 1 species
GGGUGACCUCCAAGCUGUAUUUCUAUCAAUUUUUUCUCAAGAUCUUGAAUCUUAUGUCCAAGACCUUCUUCCCAGUGUGGUUUCUUACUGUGCGAAGUAGAUUUUGCUUUCCAAAACUGAUCUACAUGAUCAAAAUAGUGACAUGAUGAGGAUCUUGAUGAAUUGGUUACAGCGUGUGAUGAGAUUGAGCUUCUUGAGAGGUUGCUUCUUGCUGCUGCUUAGUAGUAUGCUGAAGUUAUUGUACUG